rnacentral:rRNA from 1 species
CGGGAGGCGGCAGUGGGGAAUUUUGCGCAAUGGGGGAAACCCUGACGCAGCAACGCCGCGUGAGUGAUGAAGGCCUUCGGGUCGUAAAGCUCUGUCAGAGGGAAAGAAGUGUGGGAGGGUUAAUACCCCUUUCAUUUGACGGUACCCUCAAAGGAAGCACCGGCUAACUCCGUGCCAGCAGCCGCGGUAAUACGGAGGGUGCGAGCGUUGUUCGGAAUUAUUGGGCGUAAAGCGCGUGUAGGCGGCUCCUUAAGUCUGAUGUGAAAGCCCCGGGCUCAACCUGGGAAGUGCAUUGGAAACUGGGGAACUUGAAUACGGGAGAGGGUAGUGGAAUUCCUGGUGUAGGAGUGAAAUCCGUAGAUAUCAGGAGGAACACCGGUGGCGAAGGCGGCUGCCUGGACCGAUAUUGACGCUGAGACGCGAAAGCGUGGGGAGCAAACAGGAUUAGAUACCCCUGUAGUCU